GACGGACGCUGGCGGCGUGCUUAACACAUGCAAGUCGAACGGAAAGGCCCUGCUUUUGUGGGGUGCUCGAGUGGCGAACGGGUGAGUAACACGUGAGUAACCUGCCCUUGACUUUGGGAUAACUUCAGGAAACUGGGGCUAAUACCGGAUAGGAGCUCCUGCUGCAUGGUGGGGGUUGGAAAGUUUCGGCGGUUGGGGAUGGACUCGCGGCUUAUCAGCUUGUUGGUGGGGUAGUGGCUUACCAAGGCUUUGACGGGUAGCCGGCCUGAGAGGGUGGCCGGGCACCUUGGGACUGCGGUACGGCCCAGACUCCUACGGGAGGCAGCAGUGGGGAAUAUUGCACAAUGGGCGGAAGCCUGAUGCAGCAACGCCGCGUGCGGGAUGACGGCCUUCGGGUUGUAAACCGCUUUCGCCUGUGACGAAGCGUGAGUGACGGUAAUGGGUAAAGAAGCACCGGCUAACUACGUG
rnacentral:rRNA from 1 species